CGUGUAGGCGGUUAUGUAAGGGGGUCAGAUGUGAAAGCCUUCCGCUUAACGGAAGAAGUGCAUUUGAAACUACAUGACUGGAGUACGGGAGAGGAGAGUGGAAUUCCCGGUGUAGAGGUGAAAUUCGUAGAUAUCGGGAGGAACACCAGUGGCGAAGGCGGCUCUCUGGCCCGAUACUGACGCUGAGACGCGAAAGCGUGGGGAGCAAACAGGAUUAGAUACCCUGGUAGUCCACGCCGUAAACGAUGGGCACUAGGUGUAGGAGGUAUUGACCCCUUCUGUGCCGAAGCUAACGCAUUAAGUGCCCCGCCUGGGGAGUACGGCCGCAAGGUUAAA
rnacentral:rRNA from 1 species